UACGGGGGGGGCAAGCGUUGUUCGGAAUUACUGGGCGUAAAGGGCUCGUAGGCGGCCAACUAAGUCAGACGUGAAAUCCCCAGGCUCAACCCCGGAACUGCCUUUGAUACUGGGUAUCUCGAGUCCGAGAGAGGUGAGUGGAAUUCCGAGUGUAGAGGUGAAAUUCGUAGAUAUUCGGAGGAACACCAGUGGCGAAGGCGGCUCACUGGCUCGGUACUGACGCUGAGGUGCGAAAGCGUGGGGAGCAAACAGG
rnacentral:rRNA from 1 species